UACGUAGGGUGCAAGCGUUAAUCGGAAUUACUGGGCGUAAAGCGCGCGCAGGCGGUUUUGUAAGUCUGACGUGAAAUCCCCGGGCUUAACCUGGGAAUUGCGUUGGAGACUGCAAGGCUAGAGUCUGGCAGAGGGGGGUAGAAUUCCACGUGUAGCAGUGAAAUGCGUAGAGAUGUGGAGGAACACCGAUGGCGAAGGCAGCCCCCUGGGUCAAGACUGACGCUCAUGCACGAAAGCGUGGGGAGCAAACAGG
rnacentral:rRNA from 1 species